rnacentral:rRNA from 1 species
UUCGACCUCAAAUCAGGUAGGACUACCCGCUGAACUUAAGCAUAUCAAUAAAGCGGAGGAAG